rnacentral:tRNA from 1 species
GGCUGGGUAGCUCAGUUGGUUAGAGUAUCAUCCUACGCCAAGGUUGCGGGUUUGAUCCCCGCCCGGCCA